rnacentral:rRNA from 1 species
AACAGGACAGUGGGGCAUUCGUACUUAAAAGUCAGAGGUGAAAUUCUUAGAUUUUUUAAAGACGAACUAAUGCGAAGGCAUUUGCCAAGGAUGUUUUCAUUAAUCAAGAACGAAAGCGUUGGGAUCAAAAAGGAUCAGAUACCCUUGUAGUCAACGCCGUAAACGAUACUGACUAGGGAUUGGUGAGGAUAACCCUCAUCAGCACCUAAUGAGAAAUCAAAGUCUUUGAGUUCUGGGGAGAGUAUGGUCGCAAGGCUGAAACUUAAAGGAAUUGACGGAAAGAUACACAAGUCGUGGAUUCUGCGGCUCAAUUUGAUUCAACACGGGGAAAACUUACGCAGGCAAAAAGCUAGAAGGAUUGACAGCUUGAUAGCACUUUCUUGAUUUGGCAGCGAGUGGUGCAUGGCCGUUCUUAGUUGGUGGAGUGAUUUGUCAGGUUAAUUCCCUUAACGAACGAGAUCUUCACUUGCUAACUAGUCGCGACUAAAACCUAGUCGUUGACUUCUUAGAAGGACUACGGUCUCAAAACCGUGGAAGUUGGAGGC